GGUGAACGCUGGCGGCGUGCCUAAUACAUGCAAGUCGAGCGAACGGACGAGAAGCUUGCUUCUCUGAUGUUAGCGGCGGACGGGUGAGUAACACGUGGAUAACCUACCUAUAAGACUGGGAUAACUUCGGGAAACCGGAGCUAAUACCGGAUAAUAUUUUGAACCGCAUGGUUCAAAAGUGAAAGACGGUCUUGCUGUCACUUAUAGAUGGAUCCGCGCUGCAUUAGCUAGUUGGUAAGGUAACGGCUUACCAAGGCAACGAUGCAUAGCCGACCUGAGAGGGUGAUCGGCCACACUGGAACUGAGACACGGUCCAGACUCCUACGGGAGGCAGCAGUAGGGAAUCUUCCGCAAUGGGCGAAGGCCUGACGGAGCAACGCCGCGUGAGUGAUGAAGGUCUUCGGAUCGUAAAACUCUGUUAUUAGGGAAGAACAUAUGUGUAAGUAACUGUGCACAUCUUGACGGUACCUAAUCAGAAAGCCACGGCUAACUACGUG
rnacentral:rRNA from 1 species